rnacentral:rRNA from 1 species
UACGAAGGGGGCUAGCGUUGCUCGGAAUCACUGGGCGUAAAGGGUGCGUAGGCGGGUCUUUAAGUCAGGGGUGAAAUCCUGGAGCUCAACUCCAGAACUGCCUUUGAUACUGAGGAUCUUGAGUUCGGGAGAGGUGAGUGGAACUGCGAGUGUAGAGGUGAAAUUCGUAGAUAUUCGCAAGAACACCAGUGGCGAAGGCGGCUCACUGGCCCGAUACUGACGCUGAGAUUCGAAAGCGUGGGUAGCAAACAGG